UCACAAGGGCCCCCUUGCCCCUGGAUCCUCAUUGGGUUUGGCUAAUGGGAGGCACCUGCUGAAGAUCUGAAGCAGGUGGUGAGACAGUUUGGGGAGUUUUUUUCUACAUUUGCUCCUCUUCCUUGUUGAGGUUCCGGCAGUGACUACUUCUAACCGCAGGUACAGCUCCUACAGAGUAUAGGCCCUCUGGUGGCCAGCCUCUCAGUGCCAAGAUUCUCAUCUAUCUGAAACCAGCUAUCAAGUCUCCCUGAAAGAAUUUCUCUUCAGGCUAAACAUCCUGGAUCCUUCAAGUACAUUUUCCCUGUCAUCAUCAAGACCCUUAUAAGCCUUGCCACGGUCCUCUAUAUGUAAGGUCAAACCAAGGUGCCAUUUCACAUGGUCUGGCAAAGACAGAGUAGAAUGGGGCUCUCAGCCCCCAAAUUGAGGGCACCUUAUUUCUGGUAAUGUAGCUCCAUAGCACGUUGGCCAUUUUUGGCUGUCUGAUUAAACACGGGGGUUUUAGUCUCCGUACAAUUAAAGGAAACUGCUAAAUCUCUUGUA